rnacentral:rRNA from 1 species
UACGGGGGGGGCAAGCGUUGUUCGGAAUUACUGGGCGUAAAGGGCGCGUAGGCGGCUUUUCAAGUCGGGCGUGAAAUCUCCGGGCUUAACCUGGAAGGGUCGUUCGAUACUGUCGAGCUAGAGUGUGGAAGAGGCUACUGGAAUUCCGUGUGUAGCGGUGAAAUGCGUAGAUAUACGGAGGAACACCGGUGGCGAAGGCGGUUCUCUGGGAAUGUCCUGACGCUGAGGAGCGAAAGUGUGGGGAGCGAACAGG